rnacentral:lncRNA from 1 species
UUGCUCUUUUUUUUCACAAUUGACUUUAGUCCAUCUUGCAUUGAAAUUAAUAUGAUAUUUUAAAGAGUUUGAGUUACUACUAAAUUCAUAUUAUGAGGAGUCAAAUAAUAAAAAUAAAUAUUUACCUAUGUCAAUAUUUUUACCUUUCUUUAUUUAUCGAUGAAACAAACAUAUUUUUAUUGUGGUCCAUUAAUGUACUGCUUAUAUGCCAAACGUUUUCUUUUCGACCACCGCACUAUUUGGCUCUGCAUA